UACGUAGGGUCCGAGCGUUAAUCGGAAUUACUGGGCGUAAAGCGUGCGCAGGCGGUUUUGUAAGCCAGAUGUGAAAUCCCCGGGCUUAACCUGGGAACUGCAUUGGAUACUGGCAGGCUAGAGUGCGGUAGAGGAUGGCGGAAUUCCCGGUGUAGCAGUGAAAUGCGUAGAGAUCGGGGAGGAACAUCUGUGGCGAAGGCGCCAUCUGGACCAGCACUGACACUGAGGCACGAAAGCGUGGGGAGCAAACAGG
rnacentral:rRNA from 1 species